GGUACGAGUCGUCUUAUCGCGCCAGGUUAACCUGGUGAGGAAAGUCCGGGCAGCGUAGGGCACCCUACUUCCUAACGGGAAGGCAGAUAACGGGCGACGGUUAUCUGACAGCCAGUGUCACAGAAAAUAAACCGCUCUGAGCAAUCCGAGUAAGGGUGAAAUGGUAGUGUAAGAGACUACCGCUUGCCAGGCGACUGGCGGGGCAGGAUAAACCUUAGGGGCUGAAAGACCAAAUAAGCGCUGAAUGCGGGGCGGCUCGUCUCCGUUCCGAAGUAAUUCGGACGUCAGCGCGGGUAGGUCGAACGAGGUGAUCGGUGACGAUCAUCCCAGAUAAAUGAUAAGACGCCGGACCGUAAGGCCCGGCGACAGAACCCGGCUUAUAGACUCGUACCGUGU
rnacentral:RNase_P_RNA from 1 species